GAUGAACGCUGGCGGCGUGCCUAAUACAUGCAAGUCGAGCGAACAGACGAGGAUCUUGCUCCGCUGACGUGAGCGGAGGACGUGUGUGUAACACGUGUAUAACCUACUUAUAAGAGGGGGAUAACUUGGGGAAACGGGAGCUAAUACCGGAGAAGAUAUUGAACCGUAGGGGUGAAUAGAGAAAGACGGCUUUGGUGGAUCGAAUAGAUGGUUCCGCGCCGCAUUAUCGAGUAGUGGAGGUAACGGGUUACGAAGGCGACGAGGCGUAGCCGACCUGAGAGAGUGAUCGGCCACACUGGAACGGAGACACGGACCAGACUACUACGGGAGGCAGCAGUAGGCAAUCUUACGCAGUGGGCGAAAGCCUGACGGAACGACGCCGAGUGAGUGAUGACGGUCUUCGGAUCGUGAAACUCUGUUAUUAGGGAAGAACAAAUGUGUAAGUAACUAUGCACGUCUUGACGGUACCUAAUCAGGAAGCCACGGCUAACUACGUG
rnacentral:rRNA from 1 species